CCUUUGGAGCAUUAUAUCAAACAGGAGUAGCUGGUUUUAAAGCGAAACUGGAUGCGAUGAAUUAGGAA
rnacentral:sRNA from 12 species